rnacentral:rRNA from 1 species
AUGAACGCUAGCGACAGGCUUAACACAUGCAAGUCGAGGGGCAGCAUGAUUUGUAGCAAUACAGAUUGAUGGCGACCGGCGCACGGGUGAGUAACGCGUAUGCAACUUACCUAUCAGAGGGGGAUAGCCCGGCGAAAGUCGGAUUAAUACCCCAUAAAACAGGGGUCCCGCAUGGGAAUAUUUGUUAAAGAUUCAUCGCUGAUAGAUAGGCAUGCGUUCCAUUAGGCAGUUGGCGGGGUAACGGCCCACCAAACCGACGAUGGAUAGGGGUUCUGAGAGGAAGGUCCCCCACAUUGGUACUGAGACACGGACCAAACUCCUACGGGAGGCAGCAGUGAGGAAUAUUGGUCAAUGGCCGAGAGGCUGAACCAGCCAAGUCGCGUGAAGGAAGAAGGAUCUAUGGUUUGUAAACUUCUUUUAUAGGGGAAUAAAGUGGAGGACGUGUCCUUUUUUGUAUGUACCCUAUGAAUAAGCAUCGGCUAACUCCGUGCCAGCAGCCGCGGUAAUACGGAGGAUGCGAGCGUUAUCCGGAUUUAUUGGGUUUAAAGGGUGCGUAGGUGGUGAUUUAAGUCAGCGGUGAAAGUUUGUGGCUCAACCAUAAAAUUGCCGUUGAAACUGGGUUACUUGAGUGUGUUUGAGGUAGGCGGAAUGCGUGGUGUAGCGGUGAAAUGCAUAGAUAUCACGCAGAACUCCGAUUGCGAAGGCAGCUUACUAAACCAUAACUGACACUGAAGCACGAAAGCGUGGGGAUCAAACAGGAUUAGAUACCCUGGUAGUCCACGCAGUAAACGAUGAUUACUAGGAGUUUGCGAUACAAUGUAAGCUCUACAGCGAAAGCGUUAAGUAAUCCACCUGGGGAGUACGCCGGCAACGGUGAAACUCAAAGGAAUUGACGGGGGCCCGCACAAGCGGUGGAGUAUGUGGUUUAAUUCGAAGCAACGCGAAGAACCUUACCUGGUCUUGACAUCCACAGAACUUAGCAGAGAUGCUUUGGUGCCUUCGGGAACUGUGAGACAGGUGCUGCAUGGCUGUCGUCAGCUCGUGCCGUGAGGUGUCGGCUUAAGUGCCAUAACGAGCGCAACCCUUAUCACUAGUUACUAACAGGUGAAGCUGAGGACUCUGGUGAGACUGCCAGCGUAAGCUGUGAGGAAGGUGGGGAUGACGUCAAAUCAGCACGGCCCUUACAUCCGGGGCGACACACGUGUUACAAUGGCAUGGACAAAGGGCAGCUACCUGGCGACAGGAUGCUAAUCUCCAAACCAUGUCUCAGUUCGGAUCGGAGUCUGCAACUCGACUCCGUGAAGCUGGAUUCGCUAGUAAUCGCGCAUCAGCCAUGGCGCGGUGAAUACGUUCCCGGGCCUUGUACACACCGCCCGUCAAGCCAUGGGAGCCGGGGGUACCUGAAGUCCGUAACCGCAAGGAUCGGCCUAGGGUAAAACUGGUGACUGGGGCU